rnacentral:rRNA from 1 species
ACGGGAGGCAGCAGUCGGGAAUAUUGCGCAAUGGAGGAAACUCUGACGCAGUGACGCCGCGUAUAGGACGAAGGUCUUCGGAUUGUAAACUAUUGUCGUUAGGGAAGAGAAAGGACAGUACCUAAGGGGGAAGCUCCGGCUAACUACGUGCCAGCAGCCGCGGUAAUACGUAGGGAGCAAGCGUUAUCCGGAUUUAUUGGGUGUAAAGGGUGCGUAGACGGGAAAGCAAGUUAGUUGUGAAAUCCCUCGGCUUAACUGAGGAACUGCAACUAAAACUGUUUUUCUUGAGUGUUGGAGAGGAAAGCGGAAUUCCUAGUGUAGCGGUGAAAUGCGUAGAUAUUAGGAGGAACACCAGUGGCGAAGGCGGCUUUCUGGACAAUAACUGACGUUGAGGCACGAAAGUGUGGGGAGCAAACAGGAUUAGAUACCCUGGUA